UUGGAGGGCAAGUCUGGUGCCAGCAGCCGCGGUAAUUCCAGCUCCAAUAGCGUAUAUUAAAGUUGUUGCAGUUAAAAAGCUCGUAGUUGAAUUUCGGGAUUUGUCGGUUGGUCGGGCUUCACUGUCCGCACUGACCUGAUGGAUUCCUACCUUCUGAAUAACCAGCAUGCUAUUAAGUUAGUGCGUUGGGGAAGCAGAGCUAUUACCUUGAAAAAAUUAGAGUGCUUAAAGCAGGCUUGUGCUUGAAUAGAUUAGCAUGGAAUAAUAAAAUAGGACGGCAUGGUUCUAUUUUGUUGGUUUCUAGGAUCACCGUAAUGAUUAAUAGGGAUAGUUGGGGGCAUUAGUAUUCAAUUGUCAGAGGUGAAAUUCUUGGAUUUAUUGAAGACUAACUUCUGCGAAAGUAUUUGCCAAGGAUGUUUUCAUUAAUCAAGAACGAAAGUUAGGGGAUCGAAGACGAUCAGAUACCGUCGUAGUCUUAACCAUAAACUAUGCCGACUAGGGAUCGGACGAUGUUAAUUUUUUAAUGACUCGUUCGGCGCCUUACGGGAAAC
rnacentral:rRNA from 1 species